rfam:Schistosoma curassoni strain Dakar, Senegal genome assembly, scaffold: SCTD_scaffold0011794
AUUCGGCUGAUAAGUCCAAAAUAGGACAAAACGCGCGUCCUAGGU